GGAAACAGUAAUCAACCCUGGUUUAGUCACUUUCACUGCAUUAAUCAAU
rnacentral:sRNA from 1 species